UCUCCCUAGCUCCGAUCCACAAGCACCGAUCUCUCUAGCUCCGAUCAGGCAAGAUCCAUACCCACGAGCUCCGAUCGUUCCGAUAAGCACCGAUCUAUCUCUUUUUUGUUUUUCCGUUUGGGUUUGUUUGUGUGUGGGUGUGUUUGUGUAUCUGUUUUUUUUUUUUUUUUUUUAAGCAAGUGUAUCUCUGUGUUGAAUUUUCUGUGUAGAUGUGUUUGUGUGUGGGUGUGUUUGUGUGCAUCUGAGGAAAAAGAAGAAGAUGAGGAGAGUGGAAGUCUUGGUUUGAUGGGUUUGAUAUGGGUUAGAAAGAGAGAGGCUGAGUCGGUUUGAUCUGGGUUAGAGAGAGAUGUUGAGAUCGGUUGCUGUCGCGGCAUGGCUGGCGGCGACAUGUGGGCAAAUGGGGGGAGUGAUUUAAGAGCUGUGGUGGUCGGGUUCUGGGUUUCAAAUUGGUUUUGGCGAUUGAAGAAGUGUGGGUUUUUAUUGGGUUCGUUCAAAAUAACGAUCUGGUUUUUAUUUUUCUGCUCAAUCUGGGUUUUUUCUCUCAUCGCACAUUAGAUGUUUUUGGGUUUUGAAUUUUCUGGGUUUUGUUCUUGUCUGUUCUUCCUCAGUCUUUCUUUCUCUUUCUUUGACACUCUCUCUCUCUGUGAAAGCUCUUUGUGGGGGUGUCAAUGGUGGAUCUGAAGUCAGCAUUUCUGAAGGUAUACUCGGUUCUGAAAUUAGAGCUCCUCGAAGACUCUGCUUUUGAGUGGACAGAUGAUUCUCGUCAAUGGGUCGAGCUGUUGGGGAUCGUCAAAUAAACAAAUGGUUUCCUGGCAUAUGUGCCAAAGUUCUUGAUGCCUUAAUAAGAACUUACCAUGAAACUUGGGUUGAACCGUUGAAGUUGAAGAUAAAGAUCAUUAUUUUACUAAGUAUUUAACUGAGGUGCCCUUUGGAUUUUUGCACCAAUUGCACUAACGAGGUU